UUAAAUUGAAGAGUUUGAUCAUGGCUCAGAUUGAACGCUGGCGGCAGGCCUAACACAUGCAAGUCGAACGGUAACAGGAAGCAGCUUGCUGUUUUGCUGACGAGUGGCGGACGGGUGAGUAAUGUCUGGGAAACUGCCUGAUGGAGGGGGAUAACUACUGGAAACGGUAGCUAAUACCGCAUAACGUCGCAAGAMCAAAGAGGGGGACCUUAGGGCCUCUUGCCAUCGGAUGUGCCCAGAUGGGAUUAGCUAGUAGGUGGGGUAACGGCUCACCUAGGCGACGAUCCCUAGCUGGUCUGAGAGGAUGACCAGCCACACUGGAACUGAGACACGGUCCAGACUCCUACGGGAGGCAGCAGUGGGGAAUAUUGCACAAUGGGCG
rnacentral:rRNA from 1 species